rnacentral:rRNA from 1 species
AGUGAACGCCGGCGGCAGGCCUAACACAUGCAAGUCGAGCGGCAGCGGGUCCUUCGGGAUGCCGGCGAGCGGCGGACGGGUGAGGAAUGCAUCGGAAUCUGCCCUGUCGUGGGGGAUAACCUAGGGAAACUUAGGCUAAUACCGCAUACGACCCACGGGUGAAAGCGGGGGAUCGCAAGACCUCGCGCGAUAGGAUGAGCCGAUGUCCGAUUAGCUAGUUGGCGGGGUAAAGGCCCACCAAGGCGACGAUCGGUAGCUGGUCUGAGAGGAUGAUCAGCCACACUAGGACUGAGACACGGCCCAGACUCCUACGGGAGGCAGCAGUGGGGAAUAUUGGACAAUGGGCGCAAGCCUGAUCCAGCCAUGCCGCGUGGGUGAAGAAGGCCUUCGGGUUGUAAAGCCCUUUUGUCCGGGAAGAAAUCGUCUGGGCUAAUACCCCGGGCGGAUGACGGUACCGGAAGAAUAAGCACCGGCUAACUUCGUG